AAAUUGAAGAGUUUGAUCAUGGCUCAGAUUGAACGCUGGCGGCAGGCCUAACACAUGCAAGUCGAACGGUAACAGGAAGCAGCUUGCUGCUUYGCUGACGAGUGGCGGACGGGUGAGUAAUGUCUGGGAAACUGCCUGAUGGAGGGGGAUAACUACUGGAAACGGUGGCUAAUACCGCAUAACGUCGCAAGACCAAAGAGGGGGACCUUCGGGCCUCUUGCCAUCAGAUGUGCCCAGAUGGGAUUAGCUUGUUGGUGAGGUAACGGCUCACCAAGGCGACGAUCCCUAGCUGGUCUGAGAGGAUGACCAGCCACACUGGAACUGAGACACGGUCCAGACUCCAGACUCC
rnacentral:rRNA from 1 species